CAAGGCUCCAGGCACGCACUCCCCACUAACCCGCAGGGGUCAGGAUCUGUGCUCAGCCACAAGAGGGGAGGGAUGAUCCCCGUGCCCAGGCUCCAUUUCCCCUUUCCUUCCUUCACCUCAUCCCACCCCUCCCGUGUGGUCCCAGUUCAAGCCGCCGUCCAAACCAACCACUGGCAGGAUAGCAAAUGAGGAGAUCCCCAGAAGGUCCUCUGCUAAUGACCUAGCAAGUUGCAGACCUCAACAAUUUUAUUCUAAAGAUGUAGAUUUCCCUAUAAAGAAAAAAAAUGUUUCCUGCCAUUCCAGUUCUACAAGGAUCAAGCCAUUAGCUACUACAGUCGGCCACUGAGGAGAAUUCAGGAUGGAGAAAAAAUAAGAAGUAUUCUGGGCUUUGGAUAUACUGGCCCCUAGGUAGUUAAGAUGCACAUGUAAUGAAAAUUUUUAAUGAUGCCAGAUUCUUGCAUCUUCCCUUACAUAGGAAAGCACUAAAGUCAUUAACUUGAGAUGUCUGUUUUUUGUGAUUAGCAGACUACAUAUUUUUCUCAGCAAAAAAAAUUCAUAUAUAUCCUGGUUCCUCCCUUACCUCUUCGGAGCAGCUGCUUAGUAAGGACCCCAAAUAAAACAUAACUCACAA